GCUUAUUUCCCCAGGCUUGUUGGCAUAGGUUACAAAGAAGCCUUCAAGCUCUGAAGGAAAGAGC
rfam:Monodelphis domestica chromosome 5, whole genome shotgun sequence.